AGAGUUUGAUCCUGGCUCAGAAUGAACGUUGGCGGCGUGGAUUAGGCAUGCAAGUCGAGCGAGAAUUUGUGAUNGGAGGCUUCGGCUGAAGAGAUCGGAGGAAAGCGGCAAACGGCGUAGUAAUGCGUAGGUACAUACCCUCGGGUCGGGAAUAGCCAUGGGAAACUGUGGGUAAUGCCCGAUAAUCUCUNCGGAGCAAAGGUGUGAUUCCGCCUGAGGAGUGGCUUACGUGAUAUUAGCUUGUUGGUGGGGUAAUGGCCUACCAAGGCGAUGAUGUCUAGGGGGUGUGAGAGCAUGGCCCCCACGACCGGAACUGAGACACUGUCCGGACACCUACGGGUGGCUGCAGUCGAGAAUCUUCCGCAAUGGACGAAAGUCUGACGGAGCGACGCCGCGUGCGGGAUGAAGGCCCUUGGGUUGUAAACCGCUGUCAGAGGGGAUGAAAUCAUGGUUGGCUAUCCUUCCAUGUUGACAGAGCCUCAGAGGAAGCACGGGCUAAGUACGUGCCAGCAGCCGCGGUAACACGUACUGUGCGAACGUUAUUCGGAAUCACUGGGCUUAAAGGGUGCGUAGGCGGUUUAUCAAGUCAGAUGUGAAAUGCCAGAGCUCAACUGUGGCACUGCGUUUGAAACUGAUAGGCUAGAGUAUUCCAGGGGUGUGCGGAACUUAUGGUGGAGCGGUGAAAUGCGUUGAUAUCAUGAGGAACACCGGAGGCGAAGGCGGCACACUGGGGGAUUACUGACGCUGAGGCACGAAAGCUAGGGUAGCGAACGGGAUUAGAUACCCCGGUAGUCCUAGCUGUAAACGAUGAGCACUGGGCGAGAGGCGAUUCGUCGCUUUUUGCCGUAGCGAAAGCAUAAGUGUCCGCCUGGAGAUGAC
rnacentral:rRNA from 1 species